GGAAUUUUGGACAAUGGGCGCAAGCCUGAUCCAGCCAUGCCGCGUGCGGGAAGAAGGCCUUCGGGUUGUAAACCGCUUUUGUCAGGGAAGAAACGCCUUGGGAUAAUACCUUGGGGUAAUGACGGUACCUGAAGAAUAAGCACCGGCUAACUACGUGCCAGCAGCCGCGGUAAUACGUAGGGUGCAAGCGUUAAUCGGAAUUACUGGGCGUAAAGCGUGCGCAGGCGGUUAUGCAAGACAGAGGUGAAAUCCCCGGGCUCAACCUGGGAACUGCCUUUGUGACUGCAUGGCUAGAGUACGGCAGAGGGGGAUGGAAUUCCGCGUGUAGCAGUGAAAUGCGUAGAUAUGCGGAGGAACACCGAUGGCGAAGGCAAUCCCCUGGGCCUGUACUGACGCUCAUGCACGAAAGCGUGGGGAGCAAACA
rnacentral:rRNA from 1 species